rnacentral:rRNA from 1 species
CGGGGUGCUGCACCAGUGGGGAAUAUUGCACAAUGGGCGCAAGCCUGAUGCAGCCAUGCCGCGUGUAUGAAGAAGGCCUUCGGGUUGUAAAGUACUUUCAGCGGGGAGGAAGGGAGUAAAGUUAAUACCUUUGCUCAUUGACGUUACCCGCAGAAGAAGCACCGGCUAACUCCGUGCCAGCAGCCGCGGUAAUACGGAGGGUGCAAGCGUUAAUCGGAAUUACUGGGCGUAAAGCGCACGCAGGCGGUUUGUUAAGUCAGAUGUGAAAUCCCCGGGCUCAACCUGGGAACUGCAUCUGAUACUGGCAAGCUUGAGUCUCGUAGAGGGGGGUAGAAUUCCAGGUGUAGCGGUGAAAUGCGUAGAGAUCUGGAGGAAUACCGGUGGCGGAGGCGGCCCCCUGGACGAAGACUGACGCUCAGGUGCGAAAGCGUGGGGAGCAAACAGGAUUAGAUACCCCGGUAGUC